rnacentral:rRNA from 1 species
GAUCCGAUUAGAGUUUGAUCAUGGCUCAGGGUGAACGCUGGCGGUAUGGAUAAGGCAUGCAAGUCGAAUGGGUUUAGACCCAUGGCAGACGAGGUAGUAACAGGUAGGAACGUCCCCCGAAGUCGGGCAUAACUCGGCGAAAGCCGAGAUAAUUCCCGAUAUUGUCGCAAGAUGAAAGAUUUAUCGCUUCGGGAGCGGCCUGCCUUGUAUCAGCUAGUUGGUGAGGUAAUGGCUCACCAAGGCUACGACGCAUAGGGGACCUGAGAGGGUGACCCCCACCGAUGAGACUGAGACACGGCUCAUACCCCUACGGGGGGCCGCAGCCGAGAAUAUUCGACAAUGGACGAAAGUCUGAUCGAGCGAUACCGCGUGGUGGAUGAAGUGCUUCGGCACGUAAACAUCUUUUAUGAGGGAGGAAGUUAUUGACGUUACCUCAUGAAUAAGGGGCUCCUAACUUCUGUGCCAGCAGCCGCGGUAAUACAAUCGG